rnacentral:rRNA from 1 species
GACGAACGCUGGCGGCGUGCUUAACACAUGCAAGUCGAACGGAAAGGCCCUGCUUUUGUGGGGUGCUCGAGUGGCGAACGGGUGAGUAACACGUGAGUAACCUGCCCUUGACUUUGGGAUAACUUCAGGAAACUGGGGCUAAUACCGGAUAGGAGCUCCUGCUGCAUGGUGGGGGUUGGAAAGUUUCGGCGGUUGGGGAUGGACUCGCGGCUUAUCAGCUUGUUGGUGGGGUAGUGGCUUACCAAGGCUUUGACGGGCAGCCGGCCUGAGAGGGUGACCGGCCACAUUGGGACUGAGAUACGGCCCAGACUCCUACGGGAGGCAGCAGGGGGGAAUAUUGCACAAUGGGCGGAAGCCUGAUGCAGCAACGCCGCGUGCGGGAUGACGGCCUUCGGGUUGUAAACCGCUUUCGCCUGUGACGAAGCGUGAGUGACGGUAAUGGGUAAAGAAGCACCGGCUAACUACG